rnacentral:lncRNA from 1 species
AAAAAGUACAGGCUGGACAAUAGGCUAGCCCCAUAAAGAAUAAUCAAGUGGAAAUAUUUUCAACUUCAUUCAUUUACAGUAAAUUUUAAAACAGUCCUUUGGCAGUUUUGUUGCCUACGAUUUAUGUCUCUUUUGCUAAGUGAUUGGCUUUCACUUCUGCCUUUUAUUAAACAAACACUUAAUGAAUUUAACCUUGCUUCACCCACAUUCAUGUCCUGCAGAGGUAGAGAGAGAGAGAGGUCUUCCAUCCACUGGUUCACCUCCCAGAUGACUGCAACAGCCGGAGCUGGGCCCAUCUAAAGCCAGGAGCCAGGAGCUUCUUCCGGGUCUCCCAUGUGGGUGCAGGGGUCCAAGGACUUGGGCCAUCUUCUACUGCUUUCCCAGGCCAUAACAGAGAGCUGGAUGGGAACUGGAGCAGUCAGGACUCGAACUGAUGGCCAUAAUGGAUGCUGGCACUGCACGCAGCAGCUUUACCUGGCCACGUCUCCCUCCUGCUUCCAUUCUGACCCUCUGUCAUGGGCACAGCAAUCACACCAACUUGCAGACAAUACCCAGUGCUGGGUCUGCAGCUUAGCCAAUAACACACUUGAUUGUUCCUGCAAUAUGGAGAGAAAGACCUUCAGAGUGGAACCUUCUCUUCCAGGGGACUCUGAGUACCCAGUGAGGGUCCUGGAUGAAGCCUAAGGCCAAGGGCAUGGCGUCCCUGGCUCUCCAGGGAACACAGGUCAGCUUAGCACGGGUUGUUAUUCAUGAAAAUCUCCCAAAAAGUUCAGAGAAGGUUGAGAUGUCCAUGUGGCCUGCUGCAGUCAUUGUUCCUCCUUCCCUUAGGACAGCAGCAGUGAACAAGGCUGAAGGUUCAUAGGGGGCGGCUCCCAAAGGACAGGCUCUCACCAUGAUCUCAUAGGGACAUCUACUCAGCUCCUGGGGCAGGGCUGGUGGGGCUUCUGCACCUCCCCCCCCCCCACACACACAUAUAGGGUCAAGCAGAAAAUGUCCUUAGAACAAGCAAGGUGCUUUUUAAAGUCUUCCUAGUUACAGCUUUCGCACAGGCUGUGGUUGUUUUCUGCAUUCCGUGAAAGCCCCUUUCAGAAUCCAGAUAGGCAUUCUCCAACUUUGAAUUUUUUUUAAGAUUUACUUAUUUAUUUGAACAUCUGAGUUUCAGAAAGAGAGAGAGAAAAAAAAUCUUGAACUCACUGGUUCAUUCCCCAAUUGGCUGCAACAGCCAAGGCUGGGCCAGGCCAAAACCAGGAGCCAGGAGCUUUGUCCAGGCCUCCCACAUGGGUGGCAGGACCAAGCACUUGAGCCAUCAUCUGCUGCUCUUCCCAGGCCAUUACCAGGGCUAUAUCAGAAGUGGAGCAGCUGGGACAGGAACCAGUGCCCGAACAGAAUGCUGGUGUCACAGGCAGCAGCUGUAUCCCCUAUACCAUGAUGGCCCCCAACUUUGAAUUCUUGAAGUAGGGGUGCUCCAGCAACAAGAAUUAGCUCUCCUGCCCGAAAGAACUAAAAAUAACAGCAACCACAGCAACAGACAAAAUAGAGUAUUUUCAAGAUCCUUGACAGCUAGCAAAAAAGAAGUGACAGGAACGCAGCGGGUGAGCCCUGUCAUUGCUGCAACUCACUGUCCUCAGAGUUUCCAAGAUAAACAGAGGGAGAGGAAGGUGAAGAUGGGCCCAGUGGGCCCUUU